GCUCCCGGGGGAGCUCGCAGUGGGAUGUUCUCCCGCGGGCCAGACAGGAGUUGUCCCUCCCCAGGGCUGGGGAGAAUAAGCAGUGACCGAAAGUGGCCAACGUGGAGCUGAGGAGGGAGUUUACAAAUAGGGGGAAGGGUUACUCAGGCCUGAGACAUUACUUGUAAGAGGGGGUUUGGGAAGGGCCUUCAGAACUUGUAAGUGAAACCGUUUUUCUGUCACUCCCCGAGAGCCCGGUGCUUGUAAGGGGAGCUUGUGACCUCCCGGUGGCAUUUCUGUCAGACACGCAAGGUUCUGGGGUCCCGGGAGAGAAAAGCAUCAGCUCCCUAAAGAGCCUCUAGCAUUCCAGGGCUCCGGGUCUGGAGCCGAGGCGGAGCCUUCACCCGGACAGAGAGGUGGCCUCCCGGGUGGGAUGGGGAGCCUCGGACUCGGGAGCCGCUUCGGGCUCAUCGGCGGGCUGGGCUUGGCGGGGAAGGCGGUGGCGGCUCUCGCCGAGGUCCCUUGUGGCCUGCCCUGGGCCGUGGUUCCCGGGCUCCCUCCCAGGCAGGUCUGGCCGACAGGAAGGGCUCAGUGCAGGCGGAGCAUCGUUUCUCCUCCCUCCCCUUGUGUGUGACUUAUUCACAAGCCUCCGGCCUCCGGCGGGGCCUGGGCUCAGCUCUGGGCCAUCUCCUGGCCGAGGUCCCGGGAUCCACCCGACCCACAUCCGGUGCUGGGCGGCUAAAGGGUUAGUUCUGUCCCGGACUGGGUCCUGGAAGCCUCCCACGGGGAGCCGAGUUUCAGCGGCUGCUGCCGGACAGGAGGAAGGCUCGGGGCCGGCCCGAGGUGGUCAGGGACGGCCCCUGAGCCCGUGGAGAGGGCACCGUGCUCCUCGCUCCCUCGCGGGCCGGGCCUCCGGCUCUUGUUCCCAGACUUUAAUUGUUUAUUAAUAAGAACAAAGUGCUCAGAAAUGGGAUCAGGGGAAUAAAGGCUAAUUACAAGCCCCAGGCAAGGGGGCUGCAAAGAGGGAGCCUCGUUUCAGGCAGGGGGAGGAGGUGCAAGGACGGGUAGGUCCCUGCGUGGAGGGAUGGGCCGGAGGAACGGCACCCGGGUGGGGAGGGGCUGCCCCGUCUUCCCUGGCUUCUUGCCCCGACUGAACGAGGCAGAUCCCAAAAUGACUCGCCUGGCAGCAUCUGACCCCGCCCCCCAUAAGGACAGAAGAGUAAAAGCUGGUGGCAGCGGGCGGGGGCCUGAAAGGGCCAGCAGGGGUCCCGAAGGCUCUUGGAAGGGGGGGAGGGCGCUGCAGACCCGGAGAAGAGCAAACGCACCAACUGUAGGCGGAGGAAUAGCAUUUAUAUAUCACUUACUGUGUUCCAGGGGCUGUGCUAAGCCCUUUACAGACAUCCCAUUUGAGCUUCACAACAAGUGGGGGGCAGGCGCUGUUAUUACUCCCAUUUUACAGAUAAGGAAACUGAGGUGUAGACUGUUACUACUCCCAUUUCACAGAUAAGGAAACUGAGGCUAAACUUGAACUGAGAUCUUUGUGACUCCUUGCCUCAUGUACUCUCCACGGAGCCACUAGUCACCUCUGCAGGCCAGUGAGCUUGACUUUGGUUCCUGGGGACAUUCUUGAAUGAACUUGCAGGGAGGCGGGGUGUUCUCGCUGGCCAAAACCAAAGCCCAGCAGUGCCCCCGAGAGGUGCGUAAUUAGGACAGGAAAGUUGGGAGGUGGGUGGAGGACCCUGACCUCGGCUCCUCGGCUCCUCGGCUCACCUUUGUCCUCCAGAGCUCAUGUGCCAAGUCAGAGCAUCUUGGGAGCGUUCUAGGGAGUGUCCCUAAAUCCACAGAGAGAUGGGCCCAGAAAACUUCCUGGCUUUGUUAGCUGAGAGGAGCUGGCGGCCUUUCCCCAGGUCUGGGCUUGCCGGCUUCGGUCUCCCUGCAGUGGCGAGGGCAGUGCCAGGAGUGGGCAGUGCCCGCCGGAGGCUUGUGCUGCGGCCACAUGGGCCAGCAGGAACCAGUGCCAGCGGCAGCAGACGUGGGAUGCUCGUUGUCUCCUCGGGGGUCUGCUUGGGAGAGGGAAUGUUUUUAAUAAUAGCCUUUUAGUUUCAAAAUCCAUGCAGAGAUAGUUUUCAGCAUCCCUCUUGCAAAACCUUUUUUCCAAUUUUUUCCCUCCUUUCCCCCCAGCCCCAGCCCAGUAAUCCAAUUUAUUCUUCUCCACUCAUUUCCACAUUUAUCACACUGCAAAACAAACAAACAAACAAACAAAAUCACAUCAAAAAGGGAAAAAAAUAGGAAAGAAAAAAAGCAACCAAACAAACAGCAGAAAGAGUGAGAAUGCCGGGCUGUGAUGCAGCCUCGGUUCCCACGGGCCUCCCGGGGUCAGGCGCUCUCUCCAUCUCAAGAUCCUGGAACUGGCCUGAAUCACCAAAGAGCCCCCCGUCCAUCAGAAGGGACCUGCGCAUAAUCUUGUUGUUGCCGUGGACGUGAUCUCCUGGUCCUGCUCACUUCACUCAGCAUCACUUCCUGCAAGUCGAGAGGACUUUUAUAGUUCUGCAGGGACAAGGUCCCGUCUCUGGGGGGGCCGGUCCCCUGCGGCACGGUACCGCCGAAGCUCUGAGCUCAUGGGGGCCCAGUCUGGCCCUGGCGGCCACCCCCAUCAUGUUCUUUUGAUUUGACCCCAGGUCCUCACCUGAAAGUGAUCCUGGGAGAUCCCUGGACUCCCUUGGGACACGGUGCCCCCUGCCUGCCGUGUUCCCGCCAUGAGUGCCCUGGGUGCCCUCCCCUUUGGGGCUGGGAAGGGCCAGGCCCGCUCAGGACUUUGCUCUCUGCCUGUGAUCUGAAGACCGGCGGCCAUCGUUUCUUGGACCCAAGGCCAGUAAGGCGUCUUAGGCCUUUGGGUCCAAGCCCCUACAUGUCUUGCUUUACUAAGUAGUCAACAUUUAUUAGGCACCUACUGUAUGCCCACACUGCUAAGCACUGGGGACACAAAGAGGCAAAACCCGGUGCCCGCUCUCGGUGCCCCCUUGGCGAGGAAUCAGCCAGCCCCUCAGUGAGAGGGAGGGACCCUGCCCCGCUUGGGACAUCCGUGAUGGACAGCUUCUGCAGACACCGGGCCCAAGUCUGUCACUUUGCCUCCUCUGCCCACCUUGCUCUCCUGCUUCUGCCAGGUCAGGAUGGUCUUCCCACAAGGCAGAGGGCCCAAAGUGGCCAUUCACCCGGAGCCUUCCCUUCUCCAGAUGGCACAGUCCCCGUUCCCUCAGUCUAUCUUCCUGUUGCUUCCUCUGGAAGCCCUCCAGCUUACGAAUGUCCUUGUAAUGGGCGCCUCGGACCUGAAUGCGCCAAAGUGGUCCAACUGAGGCAGACCGUGGCAAACUUGGGCCCGGUAGUUGCAGAAGGCUUCUUUCAGCUCUGAGAUCCCGAACUCCUGGCUUGGUCCGACACAUUUUGUCCUGGUCUCCCCCUGAGCCGCCUGACCCUCCAGCAGGGCUUCCUCCCCGGCCCAUCGCCGCAGCCUGUGGACGUCAGCGCUUCCUCCACCUCUGCAGCCUCUGCAUGAUGCUCCAGGAGAAAUGGGCAAAAUCGGGCCAAUCCCCUCUCGCUCCUUGCUCUCUGGGGACCCGGAGGCCACCCAAGAGGCCGGCCUCCUGUGGAGAACUGACUCUGGAUGCGGGAGCCCUGUUCAGGAGCCCACUUAUCCCGGCCGAAAGCAGCCAGGGCAGCUCAGGGGAGAAAGGCUCCCCCAUGGCUUAGCACCCAAGAACUCACAGGCAAAGGUACGCAGAUGAAGUGAGAAGGAGCAGAAUAGCUGAAGGCCCAACACAUCCCCUUUCAGACCUAAACAAGUAACAGUGACAGAAAGGGGCUCAAGACAAGAGAAAAGUCCGAUGUGCGGGGUCUCGGGCAGUUAGUGAGUCGGUACAGAACGAGAUCUAGACCUCCGGGACAGAAGGAAACCUCCCAGCCACGUCCACCUGUCCCCGGAGCCUCCGCCACAGAGAGAUGGGGGCUGUCCUGUAGCCGUCCACUUAAUAAGUGCCCCCGAAGGCCUGGCCGGGGCACUGCCAGCCCCUGGGCACCCGCUCUCACUCUACCGAGGAGAUUCAACAGCAAACAGAUCAGCGAUGCAAAAUGCUUCCGGAGAGACGGAGCGGGGAGUGGGGGCUCCAACAAGGCAGCCCUGGAGGGAUUCUAAGAAAGGGGAGUUGGGGAGGGAGGGAAGGAGGCGCAGGCCCAGGGGGCAGCCAGAGACGGGAAGCCCAUGGGGCUCGGGCAACAUCCGGGGCAUCAGUUUUUCUGGGUUGGAAAGGCAAAGGGCAGCCGGGUCACAGAGAAUGUGGGGAGUGUGGGGGAACAUGGCAGGACCUGGCUCUGGGGCAGGACGGGCUGUCUGGGGUGGGGGGGCCUGGCCAUGGGGGCCAGUGUCAUCCCUCAUCCGCAGAUCUCUCUCAGGCGGCUCCCUCACUUCCCAGCAGGGGGCGGCUAUGACUUCUAGGCUCCAUGUUGCAGAAGGGAGUUCCCUAAUUUCCAGGAGACACACCUUCCUCUCAGCUUCUAUAACCUGACCUCACCCAUCUUCGCCCAGGAUCAGAGUCUGCUGGUCCUUCCCAGGGAUGGCGUUUCUUACCCGAGUGUUAAAAUUAUUCGAUGACCAAUUCUGACAGACUGGCUCCUUCAACAACGAGAUGACUCAGGGCAGUUCCAAUGGUCUUGUGAUGAAGAGAGGCAUCUAUACCUAGAGGGAGAACUGUGGGAACUGAGUGUGGCUCACAACAUAGUGUUUUUAUUCUUUUUAUUGUUGUUUGUUUGCAUUUUGUUUUCUUUCUCAUUUUUUCCUUUUUGUUCUGACUUUUCUUGUGCAGCACGAUAAUUGUGGAAAUAUUUAUAGAAGAAUUGUGCAUUUUUAACAUAUAUUGAAUUACUUGCUGUCUAGGGGAGUGGGCAGGAGGGAGUGAAAAGAUUUGGAAAACAAGGUAUUGCAAGGGUUGUUGCAAAUGAUUGAAGUUUAUGUUGAAAAUUAUUUAGGCAUAUGUUUUAAAAAUAAAAGGCUUUAAUAAAAACAUUAAAAAAUAAAUUGCAGACAUUCAUUUCAUUUAAAUGGAUAAAAUGUAUGUUUUGUUGGUGAUAAUUGGACAACAGUUUCUAAAAUUUCCACUUUAUUUGUUGUAACUUUCCCUUUUUUAUUUUUGAUACUGAUAUUUUGAGUUUCUUAAGAAUCAUGUUCAUUGUUUAUUUGAUUUUUUAAGUUCAUAAUUUUAUUGAACCAUUCAGUUACUGUUGUUUUACUUUCAAGUUUUGUCAGUAAGUUCUUUGAUUUUCAAAUAUGUUUUACAGUUUGAUUGUAUUUUUAUUUUAUUGCUUUUUGACAUUUUAAAAAGUUGUACAUUUCAUUGAUCUGUUCUGUCUCUGUUUUUAAGAUGAGAGUGUUUAGAAAAGUAAAUAUGCCCCUCAGGUUUGCUUUGGCUACAUCCCAACAGUUCUGCUAUCUUGUCUUAUGACUGUCAUCUUCACUGAUGAAAUUAUGUAGUGUUCUGUGGUUUGUUCAUUAAAUUAAAUUAUUUAAAUUA